rnacentral:tRNA from 1 species
GCCCCCGUAGCUCAGUGGAAGAGCAUAUCCAUUACUAAGAGAAGGCCGUGAGUUCGAAUCUCACCGGGGGCA